rnacentral:rRNA from 1 species
UUAUUAUAGCAGAGAGGAUACACCUGUUCCCAUUCCGAACACAGAAGUUAAGCUCUCGAGCGCUGAUAGUACUUGAUGGGAAACUGUCUGGGAGAGUAGGACGUA